rnacentral:misc_RNA from 1 species
UUUCCGUAGGUGAACCUGCGGAAGGAUCAUUAUUGUAUAACCGAGGUGCGAGGGCUGUCGCUGACCCGAAAGGUCGUGCACGCCCGAGUGCCCUCACACACAUCCAUCUCACCCCUAUGUGCACCACCGCGUGGGUCCCCCUUUGGCUUGUUCGGAGGGGGGCUUACGUUUUCACACCAACUUUGUAUGCAGUGUAGAAUGUAUUUUUUGUUUUUGCGAUCACGCAACCAAUACAACUUUUAACAACGGAUCUCUUGGCUCUC